rnacentral:tRNA from 1 species
GAAAUAUCAAAAAAUAAGCUUCUAACUUAACUAUAAAGCAUUAAAAUGUUUGUAUUUCU